UACGUAGGUGGCAAGCGUUGUCCGGAUUUACUGGGCGUAAAGAGCGCGCAGGCGGCUGGGCAAGUCCGAUGUGAAAGCUUCCGGCUUAACUGGAAAAUUGCAUCGGAAACUGCUCGGCUUGAAGGUGGGAGAGGGUAGCGGAAUUCCCGGUGUAGUGGUGAAAUGCGUAGAGAUCGGGAGGAACACCAGUGGCGAAGGCGGCUUGCUGGGCCGGACCUGACGCUGAGACGCGAAGGCGUGGGGAGCGAACGGG
rnacentral:rRNA from 1 species